rnacentral:pre_miRNA from 1 species
GUUCAGAUCUCCUGGAGUUCCCUCAAACACUUCAGUGAAGUAGUGAAUGAAUCAUCACUAUCCCAGAAGUGUUUGGGGGGACUCUGGGAGUCCUUGAAC